GAUGAACGCUGGCGGCGUGCCUAAUACAUGCAAGUCGAGCGAACAGACGAGGAGCUUGCUCCUUCGACGUUAGCGGCGGACGGGUGAGUAACACGUAGGUAACCUACCUAUAAGACUGGGAUAACUUCGGGAAACCGGAGCUAAUACCGGAUAAUAUUUCGAACCGCAUGGUUCGAUAGUGAAAGAUGGCCUUGCUAUCACUUAUAGAUGGACCUGCGCCGUAUUAGCUAGUUGGUAAGGUAACGGCUUACCAAGGCAACGAUACGUAGCCGACCUGAGAGGGUGAUCGGCCACACUGGAACUGAGACACGGUCCAGACUCCUACGGGAGGCAGCAGUAGGGAAUCUUCCGCAAUGGGCGAAAGCCUGACGGAGCAACGCCGCGUGAGUGAUGAAGGUCUUCGGAUCGUAAAACUCUGUUAUUAGGGAAGAACAAACGUGUAAGUAACUGUGCACGUCUUGACGGUACCUAAUCAGAAAGCCACGGCUAACUACGUG
rnacentral:rRNA from 1 species